rnacentral:rRNA from 1 species
UACGUAGGGGGCAAGCGUUGUCCGGAAUUAUUGGGCGUAAAGCGCGCGCAGGCGGUCAUUUAAGUCUGGUGUUUAAGGCCAAGGCUCAGCCUUGGUUCGCACUGGAAACUGGGUGACUUGAGUGCAGAAGAGGAGAGUGGAAUUCCACGUGUAGCGGUGAAAUGCGUAGAUAUGUGGAGGAACACCAGUGGCGAAGGCGACUCUCUGGGCUGUAACUGACGCUGAGGCGCGAAAGCGUGGGGAGCAAACAGG